rnacentral:rRNA from 1 species
UACAGAGGCCUCGAGCGUUAGGCGGAAUCACUGGGCUUAAAGCGUGUGUAGGCGGACCCCUAAGUACCUUGUGAAAUCCCACCGGCUCACCGUGGAACGGCUGGGUAUACUGGGGGUCUUGAGCCACCUAGGGGCGAGUGGAACAAAUGGUGGAGCGGUGAAAUGCGUAGAUAUCCACAGGAACUCCGGUGGCGAAGGCGGCACGCUGGACCUUUUCUGACGCUGAGGCGCGAAAGCCAGGGGAGCGAACGGG